rnacentral:rRNA from 1 species
GACGAACGCUGGCGGCGUGCCUAAUACAUGCAAGUCGAGCGGACCGACGGGAGCUUGCUCCCUUAGGUCAGCGGCGGACGGGUGAGUAACACGUGGGUAACCUGCCUGUAAGACUGGGAUAACUCCGGGAAACCGGGGCUAAUACCGGAUGCUUGAUUGAACCGCAUGGUUCAAUCAUAAAAGGUGGCUUUCAGCUACCACUUACAGAUGGACCCGCGGCGCAUUAGCUAGUUGGUGAGGUAACGGCUCACCAAGGCGACGAUGCGUAGCCGACCUGAGAGGGUGAUCGGCCACACUGGGACUGAGACACGGCCCAGACUCCUACGGGAGGCAGCAGUAGGGAAUCUUCCGCAAUGGACGAAAGUCUGACGGAGCAACGCCGCGUGAGUGAUGAAGGUUUUCGGAUCGUAAAACUCUGUUGUUAGGGAAGAACAAGUACCGUUCGAAUAGGGCGGCACCUUGACGGUACCUAACCAGAAAGCCACGGCUAACUACGUGCCAGCAGCCGCGGUAAUACGUAGGUGGCAAGCGUUGUCCGGAAUUAUUGGGCGUAAAGCGCGCGCAGGCGGUUUCUUAAGUCUGAUGUGAAAGCCCCCGGCUCAACCGGGGAGGGUCAUUGGAAACUGGGGAACUUGAGUGCAGAAGAGGAGAGUGGAAUUCCACGUGUAGCGGUGAAAUGCGUAGAGAUGUGGAGGAACACCAGUGGCGAAGGCGACUCUCUGGUCUGUAACUGACGCUGAGGCGCGAAAGCGUGGGGAGCGAACAGG